AUUGCUUUGGCAGAUAAGUGCAUUAAAUUUAGAAUUUACGUAUGUAUGUAUAAUACAGGCAAUA
rnacentral:tRNA from 1 species